ncrna:unclassified sequences Chloroflexus-1 RNA
CCGUCCCUGUAUCGAUGAAGAUGAGGGAACUUUAUAUUCGUACACCUCGUUGUGUACGAGAGUGCUCUCCGCAACAGGACCAGGAUCGUCCUGUUUCUUGUCGCACCAAUGUGCGACGAUGUGAUUCCGCGUUGAAUGGCGUAUGUCCCUGACAGGACAACGCCCGAAAGG